CAGUAGAGGAAGCUAAGGAUUACAAAAAGAAAGUGAGCUAGUCUCAAGAAGUAGAGGAAGCUAAAGCUAGCCGAUCUGCUAGGAAUCGUAAAGUAACUUCUGAGAUGCUAAUCAACAAGUAUUAGUGCAAACGAGAGGUUCGGGAAGCUAGGGCAGAUGAUAACUAGAGCAAGUUUGAGUCACAUUGGAACUGUCCUUUCUUCCAAUACUAUUGGAAUGAAAAGCUGAG
rnacentral:lncRNA from 1 species